GCUUGAAUGGCUCAGUGGUUGAGCAUCUGUCUUGGGCUCAGGGUGUGAUCCCAAGGUCCUGGGAUCGAGUCCCACGUCGAGCU
rnacentral:tRNA from 1 species